GACGAACGCUGGCGGCGUGCCUAAUACAUGCAAGUCGAACGAACUCUGGUAUUGAUUGGUGCUUGCAUCAUGAUUUACAUUUGAGUGAGUGGCGAACUGGUGAGUAACACGUGGGAAACCUGCCCAGAAGCGGGGGAUAACACCUGGAAACAGAUGCUAAUACCGCAUAACAACUUGGACCGCAUGGUCCGAGUUUGAAAGAUGGCUUCGGCUAUCACUUUUGGAUGGUCCCGCGGCGUAUUAGCUAGAUGGUGGGGUAACGGCUCACCAUGGCAAUGAUACGUAGCCGACCUGAGAGGGUAAUCGGCCACAUUGGGACUGAGACACGGCCCAAACUCCUACGGGAGGCAGCAGUAGGGAAUCUUCCACAAUGGACGAAAGUCUGAUGGAGCAACGCCGCGUGAGUGAAGAAGGGUUUCGGCUCGUAAAACUCUGUUGUUAAAGAAGAACAUAUCUGAGAGUAACUGUUCAGGUAUUGACGGUAUUUAACCAGAAAGCCACGGCUAACUACGUGCCAGCAGCCGCGGUAAUACGUAGGUGGCAAGCGUUGUCCGGAUUUAUUGGGCGUAAAGCGAGCGCAGGCGGUUUUUUAAGUCUGAUGUGAAAGCCUUCGGCUCAACCGAAGAAGUGCAUCGGAAACUGGGAAACUUGAGUGCAGAAGAGGACAGUGGAACUCCAUGUGUAGCGGUGAAAUGCGUAGAUAUAUGGAAGAACACCAGUGGCGAAGGCGGCUGUCUGGUCUGUAACUGACGCUGAGGCUCGAAAGUAUGGGUAGCAAACAGGAUUAGAUACCCUGGUAGUCCAUACCGUAAACGAUGAAUGCUAAGUGUUGGAGGGUUUCCGCCCUUCAGUGCUGCAGCUAACGCAUUAAGCAUUCCGCCUGGGGAGUACGGCCGCAAGGCUGAAACUCAAAGGAAUUGACGGGGGCCCGCACGAGCGGUGGAGCAUGUGGUUUAAUUCGAAGCUACGCGAAGAACCUUACCAGGUCUUGACAUACUAUGCAAAUCUAAGAGAUUAGACGUUCCCUUCGGGGACAUGGAUACAGGUGGUGCAUGGUUGUCGUCAGCUCGUGUCGUGAGAUGUUGGGUUAAGUCCCGCAACGAGCGCAACCCUUAUUAUCAGUUGCCAGCAUUAAGUUGGGCACUCUGGUGAGACUGCCGGUGACAAACCGGAGGAAGGUGGGGAUGACGUCAAAUCAUCAUGCCCCUUAUGACCUGGGCUACACACGUGCUACAAUGGAUGGUACAACGAGUUGCGAACUCGCGAGAGUAAGCUAAUCUCUUAAAGCCAUUCUCAGUUCGGAUUGUAGGCUGCAACUCGCCUACAUGAAGUCGGAAUCGCUAGUAAUCGCGGAUCAGCAUGCCGCGGUGAAUACGUUCCCGGGCCUUGUACACACCGCCCGUCACACCAUGAGAGUUUGUAACACCCAAAGUCGGUGGGGUAACCUUUUAGGAACCAGCCGCCUAAGGUGGGACAGAUGAUUAGGGUG
rnacentral:rRNA from 2 species